GCUCGAGUAGCUCAGUUUGGAUAGAGCAACACCCCCCUAAGGUGAAGGUCGAGGGUUCGAAUCCCUUCUCGAGCA
rnacentral:tRNA from 4 species